GAUGAACGCUAGCGGCAGGCUUAAUACAUGCAAGUCAAGGGGGUAGCAAUACAACCGGCGCACGGGUGAGUAACGCGUACACAACAUGCCAUAUACUGGGGUAUAGCUUUGGGAAACUGAAGGUAAUCCCCCAUAACAUUGCGAGAGGGCAUCUGAUUGCAAUUAAAGUUUCGGCGGUAUAUGAUUGGUGUGCGUUUGAUUAGCUAAUUGGUAGGGUAACGGCCUACCAAGGCGACGAUCAAUAGCUGGCGUGAGAGCGCGACCAGCCACACUGGAACUGAGACACGGUCCAGACUCCUACGGGAGGCAGCAGUAGGGAAUAUUGGACAAUGGAGGAAACUCUGAUCCAGCCAUGCCGCGUGAUAGAUGAAGGCCCUCUGGGUUGUAAAUAUCUUUAUCUGGAGAAACUCCUCUAUUCUUAGAGGCCUGACGGUACCAGAGGAAUAAGCAACCGGCUAAACUCCGUCGCCAGCAGCCGCGGUAAU
rnacentral:rRNA from 1 species